GACGAACGCUGGCGGCGUGCCUAAUACAUGCAAGUCGAACGCACUCUCGUUUAGAUUGAAGGAGCUUGCUCCUGAUUGAUAAACAUUUGAGUGAGUGGCGGACGGGUGAGUAACACGUGGGUAACCUGCCCUAAAGUGGGGAUAACGUUUGGAAACAGAUGCUAAUACCGCAUAAAACCUAACACCGCAUGGUGUAGGGUUGAAAGAUGGUUUCGGCUAUCACUUUAGGAUGGACCCGCGGUGCAUUAGUUAGUUGGUGAGGUAAAGGCUCACCAAGACCGUGAUGCAUAGCCGACCUGAGAGGGUAAUCGGCCACACUGGGACUGAGACACGGCCCAGACUCCUACGGGAGGCAGCAGUAGGGAAUCUUCCACAAUGGACGAAAGUCUGAUGGAGCAACGCCGCGUGAGUGAAGAAGGUUUUCGGAUCGUAAAACUCUGUUGUUGGAGAAGAAUGUAUCUGAUAGUAACUGAUCAGGUAGUGACGGUAUCCAACCAGAAAGCCA
rnacentral:rRNA from 1 species